UCCAACAGGAAGAAACCCAAAAGGGAGUGGGAAGGAACCUAACCUUCAUAGUCAACAACACAUAUGACCCAACAACUAACCCUGCUGAAGCAAGAAGGUUAAGAUACAAGGAGUGGUAAACUCAGAGUCAUUGAACAAAGAGAUUUAGAUGGUUCAAAGAAGUUUAAUCUAAGAAGGGAUAGAAUAAACCAUAACAUCAAAAUAAAAAUGUAGGAACAAACGUGGAUGAGAGAGAGAAAGAACUCAUCCUAUUCCCCAUCACCAAACUCUUCGUCGGGAUUCUUCCUUUGCUUUUCAGAUUUUCAUACAUCAUGCCUAGGUAAACAGUAAACCCAACAUUGAGAUCAAAUCAUCAAAGAACCAAAAAAUAGGGGGAAGAAGAUGGCGAGACGCAGAUGUGCAACCUAGAUUGGGGACGAUGACGAGGGCCGGAGAGUAGCGUCCGGCACAUGACGCAAGCGCCGUUUGGAACACCAGCCUCUCUGCUCCUUCCCCAGUGACGUCUUCCUCUGCUCCUUCCCCCCACCGCCGUCCUCCUCUGCUACUGGGCAGCGACUGGCUGCUGCCCCUGCUCCCCUCGUCCCGCCGAGUCGAGGAGAGGGGUGGCGACGAGGAGGGACCGCCAUGGCGCGCGCUGAGGGAGAAGAACGUCGUCUCAAUCAUGGCUGAAACUUUAACUCCUUUUUUCUGAUGAGAACAUGAUGCUCCUUUUAGCAUUACUUCAUUUUUAAACAGGUCUCAAUCAUGGCUGAAGCUUUAACUCCUUUUUCUGAUGAGAACAUGAUGCUAUCUUGAUGUAGAUUAAUUCACCGUGGCAUCUUGUUUUAACAUACAGGUUUUUCUCUAAACAUGAAAAUCUAUACGUACAGAGAUACAUAACCCUGAAGCCGAGUGAUGAUUAUUCCUUUUAGCAUUACUUCAUUUUUAAACAGGUCUCAAACAUGGCUGAAAGUUUAACUCCUUUUUCUGAUGAGAACAUGAUGCUAUCUGGAUGUAAAUUAAUUCAUCGUGGCAUCUUGUUUUAACAUAAAGGUUUUUCUCUAAACAUGAAAAUCUAUACGUACAGAGAUACAUAACCCUGAAGCUGACGUUGAGUGAUGAUUAAAUUAGACUGAAGUUUACUAAGUACCCUUUAUAUAAAUAAAUGCAAUUUUUCCUCUGAACCAAACAUCAAACAACACAAUAGCAGCCAACCACAAGUUUCAUUCAAUCAAUAGUCUGUUUAUGGUACCCUCAAGCAUAAAGGAUUUACCUUGACUACCCGAAGUUAUCUGAAUCUGAUAGGAGAAUGGAUUUGCUCACCUAAGCUCUGGGGCGUGGACAGCGGCUGGUGAUGGCCUUC
rnacentral:lncRNA from 1 species